rnacentral:rRNA from 1 species
CGUAGGGUGCGAGCGUUAAUCGGAAUUACUGGGCGUAAAGCGUGCGCAGGCGGUUUUGUAAGACAGAGGUGAAAUCCCCGGGCUCAACCUGGGAACUGCCUUUGUGACUGCAAGGCUUGAGUGCGGCAGAGGGGAUGGAAUUCCGCGUGUAGCAGUGAAAUGCGUAGAUAUGCGGAGGAACACCGAUGGCGAAGGCAAUCCCCUGGGCCUGCACUGACGCUCAUGCACGAAAGCGUGGGGAGCAAACAGGAUUAGAUACCCUGGUAGUCCACGCCCUAAACGAUGUCAACUGGUUGUUGGGUCUUCACUGACUCAGUAACGAAGCUAACGCGUGAAGUUGACCGCCUGGGGAGUACGGCCGCAAGGUUG